UGGUGGGCUAGUGGUUAUAGCGUCCGCCUAGGAUGCGGGAGGUUGUGGGUUCGAACACUCACCGGGUCAU